GACGUAGGGCGCGAGCGUUGUCCGGAUUUAUUGGGCGUAAAGAGCUCGUAGGCGGCUUGUCGCGUCGACCGUGAAAACUCGCAGCUCAACUGCGAGCCUGCGGUCGAUACGGGCGGGCUAGAGUUCGGUAGGGGAGACUGGAAUUCCUGGUGUAGCGGUGAAAUGCGCAGAUAUCAGGAGGAACACCGAUGGCGAAGGCAGGUCUCUGGGCCGAUACUGACGCUGAGGAGCGAAAGCGUGGGGAGCGAACAGG
rnacentral:rRNA from 1 species